GGGGAUUUAGCUUAGUGGCACAAGCACCUAUCUGGCAAGUAGGAGGUCACGAGUUUGAUCCCCA
rnacentral:tRNA from 1 species